ACUAGUGACAGUGAGUAAGGGUGUGACUAGUGACAGAGAGAGGGAGGGUGUGACUAGUGACAGAGUGAGGGAGGGAAGGGGUGACAAGUGACAGAGGGAGGAAUGGGUUGACUAUCACUGUGUCACCCCCUUCCUCACUCUGUCACUAGUCACCCACUCCCUCCCUCACUCGAUCACUAGUCACCCCCUCUCUCACUCUGUCACCAGUCAUUCCCUCACUCUGUCACCAGUCAUCCCUUCCUUCCCUCACUCUGCUACUAGUCAUCCCUUCCCUCACUCUG